rnacentral:rRNA from 1 species
GACGAACGCUGGCGGCGUGCUUAACACAUGCAAGUCGAACGGCAAGGCCCUGCUUUUGUGGGGUGCUCGAGUGGCGAACGGGUGAGUAACACGUGAGUAACCUGCCCUUGACUUUGGGAUAACUUCAGGAAACUGGGGCUAAUACCGGAUAGGAGCUCCCGCUGCAUGGUGGGGGUUGGAAAGUUUCGGCGGUUGGGGAUGGACUCGCGGCUUAUCAGCUUGUUGGUGGGGUAGUGGCUUACCAAGGAUUUGACGGGUAGCCGGCCUGGGAGGGUGACCGGCCACAUUGGGACUGAGAUACGGCCCAGACUCCUACGGGGGGCAGCAGUGGGGAAUAUUGCACAAUGGGCGGAAGCCUGAGGCAGCAACGCCGCGUGCGUGAUGACGGCCUUCGGGUUGUAAACCGCUUUCGCCUGUGACGAAGCGUGAGUGACGGUAAUGGGUAAAGAAGCACCGGCUAACUACGUG